GCGUGACGGGCGGCGCGGCGAGCGCUGCGGCGGCAUCCGGCGCCGCUGCGCGGACCGGUCGUUCGAUGCGGUUCGACAUGCU
rnacentral:tRNA from 2 species